CUUUAAGAGCAUUCAGGUUUUUGAAUAUGGCCCAAAAUGAAAAUGAGUUUGACAUAAGGCUGAGGUUUCUGGGGACGAGUGUAAAUACCAACACACUUGUGGAGUCAGCUGCCACCUGACAGAAGACGGCAGAAGACACCAGAGGUCGAUCCCAGGAAUGGACGAUGACGGAAACUCAAACUGUGGAAGGAGAGCGGACACAAGGUUGUUUUUUUUGUGUUGAGAGACAUCGUGUGAAGAACGGCGAGCCAGGAUCCAAAAGAGCAGAUUGAGAUUGUGUCCACUACGACGUCAAAGAAUAACGUUCUUCUGUUCCACUUGAUCGGUGGGAUUGCACAUAUUAACACUACCCGGGUAGCUACCAUAUAACAUUCAGAUCUGAAAACUGAAUUGAACUGAAAAAAAAGAAAGGAAAAACUUUUGAACUCGACUGACUUGACUUAGGACUACCAAAAGGAAACAUUGACUAUUUUGUUCUGUUUCAUUAUUGUCAAAUUGUGUAAUAAAUGUGUUUUGUUCAACA